CAGCCGCCGCGGGAAUACGAAGGGGGCUAGCGUUGUUCGGAAUUACUGGGCGUAAAGCGCACGUAGGCGGAUAUUUAAGUCAGGGGUGAAAUCCCGCAGCUCAACUGCGGAACUGCCUUUGAUACUGGGUAUCUUGAGUAUGGAAGAGGUUAGUGGAAUUGCGAGUGUAGAGGUGAAAUUCGUAGAUAUUCGCAGGAACACCAGUGGCGAAGGCGGCUAACUGGUCCAUAACUGACGCUGAGGUGCGAAAGCGUGGGGAGCAAACAGGAUUAGAGACCCCCGUAGUCCCUGUCUCUUAUAC
rnacentral:rRNA from 1 species